rnacentral:rRNA from 1 species
UACGUAGGGUGCAAGCGUUGUCCGGAAUUAUUGGGCGUAAAGAGCUCGUAGGCGGUUUGUUGCGUCGGCUGUGAAAACCUGAGGCUCAACCUCAGGCCUGCAGUCGAUACGAGCAGACUAGAGUGUUGCAGGGGAGACUGGAAUUCCUGGUGUAGCGGUGAAAUGCGCAGAUAUCAGGAGGAACACCGGUGGCGAAGGCGGGUCUCUGGGCGAACAUCUGACGCUGAGGAGCGAAAGC